GCCAGAGAGGGUGAGAGCCCCGUAAGCGAAAUCCAAAGGAGGCCUAUCAGUAUCCUGAGUAGGGCGGGACACGUGAAAUCCCGUUUGAAUCCGCGAGGACCAUCUCGCAAGGCUAAAUACUAACCAGUGACCGAUAGUGAACCAGUACCGUGAGGGAAAGGUGAAAAGAACCCCGGGAGGGGAGUGAAAGAGAACCUGAAACCGUGUGCCUACAAGUAGUCAGAGCCCGUUAACGGGUAAUGGCGUGCCUUUUGUAGAAUGAACCGGCGAGUUGCGUUAGUCAGCAAGGUUAAGUCAGAAAAGACGGAGCCGUAGCGAAAGCGAGUCUGAAGAGGGCGAGCAGUUGGCUGACGCAGACCCGAAACCAAGUGACCUACCCAUGACCAGGUUGAAGGCGCGGUAAAACGCGCUGGAGGACCGAACCCACGUAAGUUGAAAAUUGCGGGGAUGAGUUGUGGGUAGCGGUGAAAUUCCAAACGAACUUGGAGAUAGCUGGUUCUCUCCGAAAUAGCUUUAGGGCUAGCCUCGCAAAGAGGAUGCUGGAGGUAGAGCUCUGUUUGGACUAGGGGCCCGUCAAGGGUUACUGAAUUCAGAUAAACUGCGAAUUCCAGACAUUUAUGUGCGGGAGUCAGACUGCGAGUGAUAAGAUCCGUAGUCGAAAGGGAAACAGCCCAGAUCACCAGUUAAGGUCCCAAAAUUCAUGCUAAGUGGAAAAGGAUGUGGAGUUGCGCAGACAACUAGGACGUUGGCUCAGAAGCAGCCAUCAUUCAAAGAGUGCGUAAUAGCUCACUAGUCGAGUGACGCCGCGCCGAAAAUUUACCGGGGCUAAGCAUGAUACCGAAACUGUGGAUGUGCGUUUAUGCACGUGGUAGGAGAGCGUUCUAGCGGCGGUGAAGCAUGACCGAGAGGACAUGUGGAGCUUCUAGAAGUGAGAAUGCCGGUAUGAGUAACGAAAGACAGGUGAGAAUCCUGUCCGCCGCAAGACUAAGGUUUCCUGGGGCAGGCUCGUCCGCCCAGGGUAAGUCGGGACCUAAGGCGAGGCCGAGAGGCGUAGUCGAUGGACAACAGGUUGAAAUUCCUGUACUGCACCGAAUCGUUAUGAGCGAUGGAGGGACGCAGGAGGCUAGCAGCGCGUGGUGCUGGAUACCACGUUCAAGCGUCAAGUCUGAGAGCGAGUCAAAUGCUUGCUCUCAUAAGGACAAGGCGUGAUGAGGAGCGAAAUUAAAGUAGCGAAGGCUGCGACGUCACACUGCCGAGAAAAGCUUCUAGCCAGAGACGGUGCACCCGUACCGCAAACCGACACAGGUAGUCGAGGAGAGUAUCCUCAGGUGAGCGAGAGAACUCUCGUUAAGGAACUCGGCAAAAUGGCCCCGUAACUUCGGGAGAAGGGGCGCUGGUCGCAAGAUCAGCCGCAGUGAAAAGGCCCAAGCAACUGUUUAUCAAAAACACAGGCAUCUGCAAAAUCGUAAGAUGAAGUAUAGGUGCUGACACCUGCCCGGUGCUGGAAGGUUAAGAGGAGAGCUUAGCGCAAGCGAAGGUUUGAAUUGAAGCCCCAGUAAACGGCGGCCGUAACUAUAACGGUCCUAAGGUAGCGAAAUUCCUUGUCGGGUAAGUUCCGACCUGCACGAAAGGUGUAAUGAUUUGGGCACUGUCUCAACGAGAGACUCGGUGAAAUUAUAAUACCCGUGAAGAUGCGGGUUACCCGCGACAGGACGGAAAGACCCCAUGGAGCUUUACUGCAGUUUAAUAUUGGGUAUCUGUCAAGCAUGUACAGGAUAGGUAGGAGCCGGAGAAGAUAGGACGCCAGUCUUAUCUGAGGCGCUGUUGGGAUACUACCCUUGCUUGACGGAUGCUCUAACUCAGGCCUGUGAUCCAGGCCGAGGACAGUGUUUGACGGGCAGUUUGACUGGGGCGGUCGCCUCCUAAAGUGUAACGGAGGCGCCCAAAGGUUCCCUCAGAAUGGUUGGAAAUCAUUCGCAGAGUGUAAAGGUAAAAGGGAGCUUGACUGCGAGAGAGACAACUCGAGCAGGUACGAAAGUAGGGCUUAGUGAUCUGGUGGUACCGUAUGGAAGGGCCAUCACUCAACGGAUAAAAGCUACCCUGGGGAUAACAGGCUUAUCUCCCCCAAGAGUUCACAUCGACGGGGAGGUUUGGCACCUCGAUGUCGGCUCGUCGCAUCCUGGGGCUGAAGUCGGUCCCAAGGGUUGGGCUGUUCGCCCAUUAAAGCGGCACGCGAGCUGGGUUCAGAACGUCGUGAGACAGUUCGGUCCCUAUCCGUCGUGGGCGCAGGAAAUUUGAGAGGAGCUGUCCUUAGUACGAGAGGACCGGGAUGGACGCACCGCUGGUGUACCAGUUGUCUUGCCAAAGGCAUCGCUGGGUAGCUAUGUGCGGACGGGAUAAGCGCUGAAAGCAUCUAAGUGCGAAGCCCCCCUCAAGAUGAGAUUUCCCAUUUCUUCAAGAAAGUAAGACACCUCAGAGACGAUGAGGUAGAUAGGCCGGGAGUGGAAGAGCCGUGAGGCUUGGAGCGGACCGGUACUAAUCAGUCGAGGACUUGACCAAA
rnacentral:rRNA from 1 species